UGUGGGAUCAGAUAGCCUGUUA
rnacentral:miRNA from 1 species